CCUACGGGUGGCAGCAGUGGGGAAUAUUGGACAAUGGGGGCAACCCUGAUCCAGCCAUGCCGCGUGUGUGAAGAAGGCCCUCGGGUUGUAAAGCACUUUCAGUGAGGAAGAACGCCUGGUGGUUAAUACCCAUCAGGAAAGACAUCACUCACAGAAGAAGCACCGGCUAACUCCGUGCCAGCAGCCGCGGUAAUACGGAGGGUGCGAGCGUUAAUCGGAAUUACUGGGCGUAAAGCGCGCGUAGGUGGCUUGAUAAGCCGGUUGUGAAAGCCCCGGGCUCAACCUGGGAACGGCAUCCGGAACUGUCAAGCUAGAGUGCAGGAGAGGAAGGUAGAAUUCCCGGUGUAGCGGUGAAAUGCGUAGAGAUCGGGAGGAAUACCAGUGACGAAGGCGGCCUUCUGGACUGACACUGACACUGAGGUGCGAAAGCGUGGGUAGCAAACAGGAUUAGAUACCCCAGUAGUC
rnacentral:rRNA from 1 species